rnacentral:tRNA from 1 species
GCGGGAGUAGCUCAGGGGUAGAGCGCUAGCUUCCCAAGCUGGAUGUCGCGGGUUCGAAUCCCGUCUCCCGCUCUA